AUUGAACGCUGGCGGCAGGCCUAACACAUGCAAGUCGAACGGUAACAGGAAGAAGCUUGCUUCUUUGCUGACGAGUGGCGGACGGGCGAGUAAUGUCUGGGAAACUGCCUGAUGGAGGGGGAUAACUACUGGAAACGGUAGCUAAUACCGCAUAACGUCGCAAGCCCAAAGAGGGGGACCUUCGGGCCUCUUGCCAUCGGAUGUGCCCAGAUGGGAUUAGCUAGUAGGUGGGGUAACGGCUCACCUAGGCGACGAUCCCUAGCUGGUCUGAGAGGAUGACCAGCCACACUGGAACUGAGACACGGUCCAGACUCCUACGGGAGGCAGCAGUGGGGAAUAUUGCACAAUGGGCGCAAGCCUGAUGCAGCCAUGCCGCGUGUAUGAAGAAGGCCUUCGGGUUGUAAAGUACUUUCAGCGGGGAGGAAGGGAGUAAAGUUAAUACCUUUGCUCAUUGACGUUACCCGCAGAAGAAGCACCGGCUAACUCCGUG
rnacentral:rRNA from 1 species